rnacentral:rRNA from 1 species
UUACGACCAUAUCACGUUGCAAUAACGGUUCUCGUAUGGUCAUCGAAGUUAAGCAACAUCGAGCCUGGUCAGUACCUAGAUGGGUGACCGUUUGGGAAUAUCAGGUGCUGUAAG